rnacentral:sRNA from 1 species
UGGGGUGGGGCUGUGAGCACCUGGUAAAGGUUGAGAAUGGGAGUUUGUGCUUUCAAGAAUCCUUGGGAACAGAUCGGAAUUGCGGGUUUUUGGAGUUUGGGCAGGGUGUGAGUGCUGACCUACGUGGGUGGAGCUAUUGGGAUACUAGGGCGGAGCUUUGGAUUCCAACUUAACUUGGCCCAGAUCUACUUAAGGACAAGGAAGGACUGUGCAGGUUGAACUGGUGGGCCAGACUGUCAGUACUCAGUAAGGUGGUCAGGGCCUCCAACGUACCAGCCAGUGCUGUGUGUGGUGAGAUUAUGUUGAUAGAGCUAAGCUUUGGAUCGUGGCAUUACUUGUUGGAGGACUACAGGAGGAGGAAGGCUUGCCUGUGCGUGUGAGCCGGAUUAGAAAUGAUGGGCGGGGCUGUGUAUGCUGAGAUAGAUUGCUGACAUAUGAAGUAGGAACAGAGCUUUGGAUAGUGACAUAGUAAAGUCCCAGAAAUUCUGAAAGAGAAUGACAGUGUCGUUUGAGAUGUAAGAGCCAGGUUUUGGGUUGUGGAUGGGGCUGUUAAUGCCAGUUUGGAUCUCUAAAGUGCUGGCCAGGACUGUGAAUUGUGAGUGUGACAGCAGGGCUGAGCAAUCCUGAUAGAAUGUGAUAGAAGACCACUUAAGGAAUAGGACGUGGAUGUGGAUGCUGACAUAAGAGUACGGAUUGUGUAUGCUGGACAGGAUGGGUGCACUACUGUGAGUAGUGCUAUAUGAAGCAAGGGAGGAGGAGUCUGGUCAUUUGUGAUGAUGCAGGAGUGGCGGGUAGGACACUGCUUUCUGAGUUAGUUGUGGUGAGUAGUACUGUGUAGGUUGUUGUCUGAUGAUGGGCAGUACUGUGCACACAGUGUGGUUGGAGUGGUGGGAGGGGUGUGGGUUUGAAGGUAGGAGAGGUGGGUGUUGUUGCGAAUGUUGCUCAGGGCACCCAGGGUUUACAGAGUACUGGGAAAGGUCUAUAGGUAUUUCUGGAGGGGGAGGGAGACAUCUGAAUACUGACAUACCAUGACAGAGGAUCACUGGAGAGGGAAGAACAAGACUGUAUGCUGAAGUAGGAGUGGUGGGCUUAGCUGUGAGUGCUGACCUAGGUGAGCUGUCUCGAGAGUAACAGGGAUGGUUGUCAAUGGUAAGAUAUGAAGUGGGGAUUGAACUUUGGAUAUUAAUACAAGAUGAUGCAGGACCACUGGAAGUGGGGGGCAGAGAAGUGUAUGCUGAAGUGGGGGUGAUUGGUGAAGUAUGAAGUAGAGCUUUGAAUACUGUCAUAAUAAAUUUCAGACUGCUGAUGUAGGGCUGGGCUUUGAGUGCUCACCUCCAUGGGUGAGUCAAUGGAAGCAGUGUUGUAGGACAAAGGAAGACAGCAGUGAAUUCUAACCUAACAAGACUCAUGCUAAUGGAGAAGCCCAGCUGAGUGUGUUGAGAUUAGCACUAGAGGCAGAGAUAAAGGAAAAUCAGGGUGGGCCUGUGAGUACUGUGGUUGACCUGGGGGCAGGGAGUGGGCUCCUGAGUAAGCAAGAUAAAGUUGUUAGUGGCAGAGUAGAUGGGAGAGGAAGAAGUUUAGGGCAGACCCCUGGAUUAAAAAGUAAGGCAUUUGGAAUGGGGCUGCAGGAAGAGGAGCUAAGCCGGACUGUGAGAGCUGAGGUGGGGAUGUGGAAAGUGUCCUAUAAGUUGCUGUAUAGAUAUGGGUGGGGCUUGGGAGGAGCAGGGUAGAGCAGGGUAGGGACCUUUUAGGUAUGUCAAAGAAGCUUGUAGAGUAGCUACUUGGAGUUGGAAGGAGGCACUCAGAGAUUGUGAGGCACAUCCUUAAGUAAGAGAGGCAAAGUAAGAAGAGAAGGAUGCCUUAGGGACCUAACCAUAUCCUGAGGGUGAUCUCCAGGGGACACCUUAGAGGGCAUGAAUGCUGCAAAAAAAAAAAAAAGGCCAGGAACUUUUGUCUGGGACUCAGGUAUACUUAAGCUAAGUCUUAAAGGGUAAGACUCAAUUCCUGAGGAGGUCAGCCUCCUUUUCUCCAAGCCCUGCUGUCUAAAAGUACCAAUGGUCCUAAUCUUACUAAGGUUUAUUUCAAGUGCGAAUUUGGCAGCCAACUCUGGAUCCCUACCUCUGCGGUGCCUAGAAGAAAAUAUGGCUGUCUUCUUGUUUGCCAGGGCUACCCAAGGUCAGUCUUCAUCUGCUGCCUGAGCUCCUUUCCGAGCCUCUGGAUGAGCUUGUCCUGGAUAUCUCCACUUCAACCAUUCUCCACACGCAGGUCAAAGAAUAUCCUAUUACCCAUCCAUACAGCCCAUACACCUCCCCAAGUUCUGGCAAAUGGGAUCAUAUAGUACUACCCGGAGCCCUACAUUUAUUGCUGGUUUUGACAUUUCAUAUGGACGAGAAGAAGCUGUGCCUCAGGAACCCUAGACAUGGAUGGACUACUUAGUCUAUUGGCAUCCAUGUAAUGCAGUACCAGGCCUUAAUUGACCAUGAACUCUCCUAGAGCAUGCAAAAGCAACUGUAUCAUCGUGGGUCAUCUAAGAAGACACAGAGGUUCUUCGUCUUCCUCCGGGGCUCCACGGUCUCUGAUGAGAAGGCCCCAUCUUUCUAAUUGUUUUAGGCAUAUCAAUAUAGGAUCAUUUCUCUUCGAGUGCUUCUAAGCUGGAAUCCUGUGACACACAGAUGUGAUGGAAUCCAGCACAUCAGAGGAAAGAGGAGAGGCACUACUCCCUGAGUGAAUGGUGAUUCCACAUCUUCAUCUGUCCUCUUGAUUUCCAAGACUCCCUCCAUCUCCAGGGAAACUUCAAGUGAUUUCUCAUUGAGGUGCAAUGUGGGCUUCUGAGCAGGAGGACUUUACUGUUGCCUUCAGGCCUUAUAUGAUUUUUUUUGAAGGAACUCCAUUGCCAACAUCCUGUAUGCUUAACUUUAGAGUCAAUUUUCUUUUGUGAACAUGCAUAGUUAUUGCAGAAGUCAGAAGAGGGUUUCAAAUCCCUUGGAACUGGAAUUAUGAAUGGAUGUUACUCAUGAGAUUCUGCCCCAGUCCUCUUCAGGAGCAACAAGAGCUCUUAACCACUGAGCCAUCUCUCCAGCUGACAGAGGCCUGAUUUUUAUGAUGUGAAGUUUCAGUUAAAGAUUUUAGAUUUUAGUGAAGUUACAUGAUUUCCUUAAAAAUGUUCAAUGAAAUAAAAUAUUAGUGUAGAUCAUGGAGGGCAUUUCAUAUAUUUGUCUGUUGUACUUAGAAAAUAUCAGCUUUGACUUUUCAAUAGUAGUAAUCAUUCAAGGCUAGAGAGUCUACAGCCAAAUGGGCCACUUUGAUUUCCUUAAACCAGACCAUAGCAUCCCUUAUAUUUGAGGUUAAUUCCUUCUGUGUUUUGGCUUCUGAGUCUCUCUGGUUGUAACGUAAGAUGAGUCUCUGCUAUGUUUCUGUUUGGAACUGAACCAUGGCCAUGGCCAUAAUGGUGGAAAACACUGAGGAUGCUCUUAUUCCUGGUCUCCCAUGGUCUUAUUCCCUAUGUUUCCUCACACUCUAAGCCUGGAUGUGAGGGUCCUCAGAAACUGUGUUUGUGAAUUAGAAAAUAGUCUAACAAACAGUUUUAGAAGUAGAAAUCACCUGUAACUUUUGCCUCAAAUCCUUCUUUACUUGACUAUGGGGUUAUUUAGGCUGUGUGUCGUUUGGUUACCCCCUGAAGAGGCAUGCUCCUCAUGGAUAGCCACACUGUCUCACAUUUCCUGGAUUAAUGCCUUCAUUCAAGAAAUUUAGGUGUUCAUAAUUUUCUGUUUUGAACAGUAAUAGGGAUAUUCGUUGCAUAUAGCACAGUGUUGAUAUGAGAAGAAAUUAUUGCCUUUAGUUUUUAACAUGUUGCCUAGAAGGUAAGAGGCCACAAUCAAUUAUUUUGCAAUAACAAACACAAAUUUUUCAUCAGUAUGCUUGACAUUGUGCUAGAUUAUUUUAUGGGUGGGUGAUUUGGUGCGACUCAGCAAUAAAGGGUCUAGUUUUCCAGAGCUCCAUUUGGUAGAAAGAAGACAUGGUGUAUCCUUCUUGGUCUCCAGUCAAAAAAUGAGCAGUGGAUAAUUGUUGCCACAGGAGUCUGACUCCCAAUCACUGUGCCCAUCUCUUUUCUUCUCUCCAAAAUUCUCUUUCUGGCUGACUUCAGCCAUCACUGUCUGCUGCAUAGUUGCCGUUCCCUCUUUUUACAGACAAGAAUUGGAUUGCUUCUUUCCUUCUAAUAUUUGUUCAGCUAUUACUUUACCACUGAGGUUCUGACUAAACUACCUCAUAGAAAAUAAUAAGACCCUUCCCCUGAGCUUUAUUUUGUCCGGGCACAUUCUCCGAGUUUAUUUUAAGCUCAAUCAGAGCAGUGACUGAGAACUCUAGCACUACUAACAAUGCCUAGUAUACAUUGUAUGUGUGCGCUUAUGCAGUGUUUAAUAAGGAUUUACUGUACCAAUAAAGAGGAAAAGAGAUCCUUUUAGGUAUAAAAUGGAAGUUUGCAAAAGGCUUCUUUGGAGAAUGGGGCUGGAAAGAAAAUUUAAGAUGUAUAGAGAUAUAAGGGCAGGGCAGGAGUUCCAGGUAAAAGGUACAGAACUAGCAAAGGCAAAGAGGCAAGAAGCUUGUUCAAUAGCAAAACCUUUGGAUUAUCAAAUCUCCAGUCACCACUGUUUACAUUAAAAAGUACGCUGGGAAAGCGGCAGUAGCAGUAUUUCCGGUUAAGGUUCCGCCCACCGCGACCGAUUACGCUCGGACCUCCGGCGCCAUCAGGCUCCACCCACAGAGGGAGGGGCAGAAGAGAGUUGCACAAGCGCAGUCGCGUUCAAGCCAGCGCCCGGGCCUUCGGGCCCGAGGCGUCGCGUCGGUGUCGCGCAGUCUUCUCUGAGACAGUCGCGGGCUGUGGAGGCCGCGACGACGGCAGCGGCGGCGGCGGCGGCGGCGGC